CGACCGGCGCACGGGUGAGUAACACGUAUCCAACCUGCCGUCUACUCUUGGACAGCCUUCUGAAAGGAAGAUUAAUACAAGAUGGCAUCAUGAGUCCGCAUGUUCACAUGAUUAAAGGUAUUCCGGUAGACGAUGGGGAUGCGUUCCAUUAGAUAGUAGGCGGGGUAACGGCCCACCUAGUCUUCGAUGGGUAGGGGUUCUGAGAGGAAGGUCCCCCACAUUGGUACUGAGACACGGACCAAACUCCUACGGGAGGCAGCAUG
rnacentral:rRNA from 1 species